rnacentral:tRNA from 1 species
GCCCAGGUGGCGGAAUUGGUAGACGCGCUGGUUUCAGGGACCAGUGUUCGCAAGGACGUGCAGGUUCGAGUCCUGUUCUGGGCACAA